GACGAACGCUGGCGGCGUGCUUAACACAUGCAAGUCGAACGGUAAGGCCCCUUCGGGGGUACGACGAGUGGCGAACGGGUGAGUAACACGUGAGCAACCUGCCCUUGACUCUGGAAUAACAGUUGGAAACAGCUGCUAAUACUGGAUAUGCACUUAUCCCUUCCUGGGGGUGAGUGGAAAGCUCCGGCGGUCAGGGAUGGGCUCGCGGCCUAUCAGCUUGUUGGUGAGGUAANGGCUCACCAAGGCUUCGACGGGUAGCCGGCCUGAGAGGGCGACCGGCCACACUGGGACUGAGAUACGGCCCAGACUCCUACGGGAGGCAGCAGUGGGGAAUAUUGCACAAUGGGCGCAAGCCUGAUGCAGCAACGCCGCGUGCGGGAUGAC
rnacentral:rRNA from 1 species